rnacentral:lncRNA from 1 species
CCUCCAUUAAACCCCCUGUAACUGUUCCCAAGCUACCCGUUCCUCCAGUGACUGUUCCCAAGCUACCCGUUCCUCCAGUGACUGUCCCUAAGCUUCCAGUUCCUCCGGUGACAGUUCCGAAGCUACCUGUUCCUCCAGUGACCGUACCUAAGCUUCCAGUUCCUCCGGUGACAGUCCCAAAGCUACCUGUACCUCCAGUGACCGUCCCAGAACUACCACUUCCUCCGGUAGGAGGGCUACCCAUACCUCCGGUGGGAGGGCUACCCAUACCUCCGGUGGGAGGGCUACCCAUACCUCCGGUGGGAGGGCUACCCAUACCUCCGGUUGGAGGCCUACCCACAUUGCCACUGCCACCAUUGCCGAUUGUGGGUCCUCUUCUUCCUCCGGGGACAAACCCUCCUACUCCAGGAGGAAAAGAUUGCC